GUGCUUGCUUCAACAGCACAUAUACUAAAAUUAGAACAAUACAGAGAGGAUUAGCAGGGCUCCU
rnacentral:snRNA from 1 species